rnacentral:lncRNA from 1 species
UUCAAGGUGGAACUGCAUUCUGGGUCAGAUUGAACAUGGCUUGGUUUGGGUGAAUUGCUUUCAACACUACAUUUAAUUAUUUAAUUUUGCACACUGGUCUAGGUUAGUGUCUGCUUUGCAGACGAGACUGAGAGAGACAGACACUCAGUAUGUGCUGCUGGUUGUAACAACAUUUGUAAUUACUCAUUCACAGAAACUAGGAAGAGUCUCAGCAACAGGUCAAGGCAGUGAGACGAGGGUUGUCGGGUAUAGGCACAGCUCUGACAUGUAGCUAGCUACAGGACUUACUAGGAGAGAGAAGACGUUGUUGAAAUGACUACUGAAUUAGAAUAUCGGAAAACAAGCAUUAUCAAGGUAGGCGGGUAAAAGGGAGGGUGUUGCCGAACUGGGUGCAUUUAUUGUUACUAGUGCAGCUACAGUAGCUAGCCACACAGUCUCUGUUGAGUGUAAUUUGUGUUCUUGGUCAAAUCAUUACAACUGUUAGUUGAGUGACUUGAUAAAUGUAAUGCUGUAGCCAGCUAAUGUUACCUAGCGGCUGUGCACGUGACAACUACAAUCUCUAGCUAGCAUUUGAAGCUAGCUAGCUAAGUAACUACUUGAUAUUGUAUUGUGUGUCUAGCUUGCUAACCAUUUAUACACAGGCUACUUACUUAUAGGCUACUAGCUAGUCAUGUGAGGAUGUGCUUGCUUGAUAGGUACUUGAAUUGUGCGUGCUCUGUGUAUGGACCGCAGAUGUGUAGCACUGCAGUGUGUAUGUUUGAAGACUUUCUGUGUCCAAGGGGGGCAAGAGCUGGGAGAGUUCAAGGUGACUGGACAGGGCCCGUCACGGGGAGCAAACUGCUGCACACACACAGCCAUUGAGCUAUCGACAACACUCCCUAUUGUACAGACAUCACUGGUAAGACGGGGAGGGAGAUGCGAGACACAGGUGGAGAAGGAAGUUUGAGAUGGGGUCUGAGACUUGGACUUUCUAAGUCUUUUUUUACUGUUUCUGUUUCUCUACCUGCCUAUGAAUCUGGAGACACUGGAGCAGAACCACCAUGAGUAUGUCAAGGUAAGACAGUCUGAACCAGACAAAACUGGUUCACACAGGCUAGACUAGUCUAGAUCAUCUUACAAAACCUUAGUAGACUAAAACAUCUAACUCUACAAAGUUACAUUCCCAUCAGUCCUCUCCUCUCUGCGUCAGGAACAUCGAUUGGACAGGAAGUGUCACAUGGUCCAGCGUGACGACAGCUGGUGGGGAAUGAAGUCACUACUGUGAGAAAGGGGGCAGAGCGUGUGUUUCCCAAUGUGCUCUGUUACAGGUUACAGCCUUCAGGUAUAUAACGUGUGUGUGUGUGCGCGAGGUGAGGAGGCAGACUGUGUCUUACCCUCUGUCCUCUGAAGGGGUUAGCGUGUGAGGGCUCUAACCUGCUGCUUCUGAGGCUGCUCCCUCUGAGGAAGAACGUCCUGGAAAACAUGAUCUUUCUCUCCUUUGGCCCAACCUCCACAUAUGUGAGUGUGUGCUUGCAUGUGUGUGGAGUGUAUAUGUCAGUUGUUUUAGUCUGCCCUACUCAUAAGUGUGUGUGUGUGGUUUAUCUGGGAUCAGAAGGACUGUUGUCCCAGUUUACAGUAAACCGGCCUACAACAGAGAAACCUGGGACAUACAGGGCACCACUGCUCCUGCCAUCUCUAUCCCCUGUGUGAUGUCAUAUCCUGUUCCUGUUUAAGCUGAGUGCAGAUGGGUUCUCCCGUCAACAUGAGCGUCCUGCUGCUCACUGUGUGUACCCACACAGGUACACACGCAUACACACUUAUGAGUGUUCCCCUAUUUACAUGUUUGUGUGUUGUGUCUAGGUGAGGGAUGAUAUGCCAGGGUUUGAGAAGAAGCGUCUGGUGAGGGAUGAGGACAUGCAGAUGAACUCCAAGUUCCUAAACCUUAACCUUUACCCCCUACUUUCACCCUAGCCCCUUGCUUUUAUUUUUAAACCACAACCCCUACGUUUCCAACAUAACCUGACGUUUGUGUUACAGGAGUUGUUACAGGAGUUAUUCCUUGUACCUGCUGCAGCGCCAUGAUGGCCGACUUCUUGCAGUUCCUGUUACUAGGAAAACUGAGUAUUACAUUUCCUUACAUUCCUUACAUUACAACGGAACGAUUUGAUUAGUGUAAUGUUAGCUAGUUAGCUACAUAGUUGUCUUUGCAUCAAGGAUAAAAGUGUAGCUAAAGGUGUAGGUGUAGCUUUGAGAAACUAACUUUGAGAAACUAACAAGGUUAGCUAGCCAGCUAGCCAGCUGUAUUCGUUCAUUCGCGCCAUUUUCCAAACGUCGUCAACAUCACAUCACCACAGCCAAUGCUAGUUAGCCAACUUUACCAACUAUCGGUACUGUAGAAACUAAAUACACUACAACGGAACGAUUUGAUUAGUGUAACAUUAGCUAGCUACAUAGUUGUCUUUGUAUCAAGAUAAAGGUAAACGCAGCCACUGCUAGCUAGCCAACUCUACCAGCUACCAGCUAGCAGUACUGUAUCAUUUUUAGUCAAUAAGAUUUUUGCAACGUAAGCUUUCGAGUUGUGUAGCCCACUUGUGUAGCUAGCAGGCCUGACUUUGUGUUAGCUAGACAACGUUUAAUUACUUCUGCGUUAUGAAAGGAACUAGACAUGGACACAAAUGAUCCAUUGGUAGUUUGUUGUAACCAAGUAUUGGUGCUAACCGUGUGUUAUUGGAUGCUAGCAUGCUAGUUAGCUACGGCGUCAAAAGACACGGUGCACUGGGUGGGUUUCACGGAAGAAUACUGUACCAAGUUAUCUAACUGAAUAAACUAAGUUUGAGCAUAUUCCUGGAAACAUUCAACCACUGUAGUUUACAUCAAUUAUAAUUUCUAAGUGGAAGUUGGAAUAGUUAUAUUUGAGUGUUUCAGCGAAUGGUGCUUCCCCAGCUCUCUCGCAUCCCCAGUUGUUUAGUUAAUUUUCAUUCCAAUCUCCUUUGCAUUAGCGUAGCCUCUCCUGUAGCCUGUCAACUAUGUGUCUGUCUAUCCCUGCACUCUCCUCUCUGCACAGGCCACACAAACGCUUCACACCGCGUGGCCGCUGCCACUCUAACCUGGUGGUCCCAGCGCACACGACCCACGUGGAGUUCCAGGUCUCCGGCAGCCUCUGGAACUGCCGGUCUGCGGCCAACAAGGCAGAGUUCAUCUCAGCCUAUGCUACCCUCCAGUCCCUCGAAUUCUUGGCGCUGACGGAAACAUGGAUUACCACAGAAAACAAUGCUACUCCUACUGCUCUCUCCUCGUCUGACCAAAUGUUCUCGCAUACCCCGAGAGCAUCUGGUCAGCGGGGUGGCGGGACUGGAAUCCUCAUCUCUCCCAAGUGGACAUUCUCUCUUUCUCCCCUGACCCAUCUGUCUAUCUCCUCCUUUGAAUUCCAUGCUGUCACAAUCACUAGCCCAUUCAAGCUUAACAUCCUUAUCAUUUAUCGCCCUCCAGAUUCCCUUGGAGAGUUCAUCAAUGAGCUUGACGCCUUGAUAAGUUCCUUUCCUGAGGAUGGCUCACCCCUCACAAUUCUGGGUGACUUUAACCUCCCUACGUCUACCUUUGACUCAUUUCUCUCUGCCUCCUUCUUUCCACUCCUCUCCUCUUUUGGCCUCACCCUCUCACCAUCCAGCCUACUUACAAAGCAGGCAAUACGCUUGACCUCAUCUUUACUAGAUGCUGUUCUUUACCAAUCUCACUGCUAAAGCUGCUAAAGCCACUUUCUACCACUCUAAAUUCCAAGCAUCUGCCUCUAACCCUAGGAAGCUCUUUGCCACCUUCUCCUCCCUCCUGAAUCCUCCUCCCCCCCCUACCUCUCUGCGGACGACUUUGUCAACCAUUUUGAAAAGAAGGUUGACGACAUCCGAUCCUCAUUUGUUAAGUCAAACGACACCGCUGGUCCUGCUCACAUUGCCCUACCCUAUGCUUUGACCUCUUUCUCCCCUCUCUCUGCAGAUGAAAUCUUGCGACUUGUGACAGCCGGCCGCCCAACAACCUGCCCGCUUGACCCUAUCCCCUCCUCUCUUCUCCAGACCAUAUCCAGAGACCUUCUCCCUUACCUCACCUCGCUCAUCAACUCAUCCUUGACCUCUGGCUAUGUCCCUUCUGUCUUCAAGAGAGCGAGAGUUGCACCCCUUCUCAAAAAACCCACACUCGAUCCCUCCGAUGUCAACAACUACAGACCAGUAUCCCUUCUUUCUUUCCUCUCCAAAACUCUUGAGCGUGCCGUCCUUGGCCAGCUCUCUUGCUAUCUCUCUCAGAAUGACCUUCUUCAUCCAAAUCAGUCAGGUUUCAAGACUGGUCAUUCAACUGAGACUGCUCUUCCCUGUGUCACGGAGGCUCUCCGCACUGCUAAAGCUAACUCUCUCUCCUCUGCUCUCAUCCUUCUAGACCUAUCUGCUGCCUUUGAUACUGUGAACCAUCAGAUCCUCCUCUCCACCCUCUCUGAGUUGGGCAUCUCCGGGCGCGGCUCAGUCUUGGAUUGCGUCCUACCUGACAGGUCGCUCCUACCAGCUGGCGAAUCGCAUCUCUGCAUGUCUGGCAGACAUAUCAGUGUGGAUGACGGAUCACCACCUCAAGCUGAACCUCGGCAAGACGGAGCUGCUCUUUUUCCCGGAGAAGGACUGCCCGUUCCAUGAUCUCGCCAUCACGGUUGACAACUCCAUUGUGUCCUCCUCCCAGAGUGCUAAGAGCCUUGGCGUGACCCUGGACAACACCCUGCCGUUCUCCGCUAACAUCAAGGCGGUGACCCGAUCCUGUAGGUUCAUGCUCUACAACAUUCGCAGAGUACGACCCUGCCUCACACAGGAAGCGGCGCAGGUCCUAAUAUUAAUAACCCCAAGAAAAUGUUUGUAUACAAUGCAAGGGUAAGGAGCCACAGGUCAAGGAGGGAGUGUCGCGAAUGAGCCUGGUCAAUAUGACCUGAUGAAUCCUUCAGCCUGCUGACAGGACUCUGGUAACACUGAAACAAGGAAGAAUAAGAAGAAGCUUAAGAAGGACAAGAAGAACACCCAACCACAAGCAGUUAGAGAGCAGCAUAAACACAGGGAGGUGAUGGGUGCGAGUAGACUGUAUGAAGAUGUCCCUCUGCUGGAGGGCGGAGGUUCAUUUUAUAUGGCAACACCCCUGUUGAACUCAGGCCCUGGGUCAGAGCUGGUGGAGCUGCCGAAUGGGCCAUGAACAGAUGACACUGUGGAUUGCCAUAACAUAUAAAGGAAACAAUGUGUUACAAAAUUCUGUGUAGAUAUCACGUGUAAAGGAGACAUUGUGUUAUGUAACUUUGCUUAAAUGUCAUGUGCAAGGGGGAGGAUGUGUUGUGUGGCUGUAGUCAAGGGCUUGGACAAAAUGUAUAAAUACCAAUGUAAAAGAUAGGAAAAGAGCAGAAGCUGAUUGAUGUAUUAGAAGAGUGAAGACUGGGGCAAGGUGAGCAUCGUGCUUCAUUACUAUUGUUAGAAGCAACUGUGGAGUGCAAUUGCUAUAAAAGAAAAUCGAUAAAAUCCAUCAGCUGUAAAGCUGGGGAACCAAAAAGAGAAGUGUUACUGGUUUUCAUUUACUAGUCAAUUUAUUUGUUGAAUAAUGUGUUAAGAAGUAAAGUAACAUUAUAACAACUAUAGGCUUAGGGGGUUCACCUUAGGUGCCCUCCUGCCAGACCAUAUUGUGGGCUCGAGCAGGAAACCAAAGGGGAGCUUGAGGGUAACUGUCGAAGGUACAUUAAUGGAGUACUGGGAGUCUAGCCUAUAGGGCCUUUGUCUACCCAGACAAAGUGCUGAACCCCUGCCUUCAGCUAGAGGAUUUAGUUGAAACCCUAUACCUGGGACUUAGCGAGCAUGACUCACCUGUGAGGGUGCUGUCCGGUCAAUUAGAAAGGAAGGACCAGCCGCUAGCAGGAGUGUCUGAGAUUAUGCUGCGCUUGUAAAAAAUAGUGUAACCCCGUUGUGGAACGUAACCUCCGUGCACAGUGAGAAUGAAGUAGUAAGAGCCGCGCCACUAAUGAAAAUAGUACAGAGCGGACUAUAAAUAAAUAUUGGAUUGCUCAUUGGUGUUAUACACAAACAUAGCCCUCGCUGACGUAUUGUAUACCAUGUUGUCACGUCCUGACCAGCAGAGGGCGUAAUUGUGUUAGUCUUGGUCAGGAUGUGGCAGGUGGUUUGUGUUUGUUAAAUGUUUGUGUUGUUGAUUGGAACUUCCAAUUGAAGGCAGGUGUGUUGAGUUGCCUUUGAUUGGAAGUCCUAUAUAGGUGUGUGUGUUUUUCUUUGGGGUUGUGGGUGGUUGUUUUGCACUGCGUUUGUUAGCCUGCAAACUGUUGCUGCAGUCUUGUUUAUUGUUGCCUGUGGAUGCUUUACUCCUUUUUUGGGUAAUUAAAUAUGAGUAUUCACAUACCUGCUGCGCCUUGGUUCAUUUCUGAAGACAGCCGUUACAGAACCACCCACCAAACCAGGACCAAGCAGCAGAAGAGGAGGAAGCCACAGGAGAAGAAAAGGGAGGAAUGGACAUGGGAGGACGUCCUGGACGGCAAGGGAGCCUACACCUGGGAAGAGAUCCUGGCUGGAAGGGAUCGCCUCCCAUGGGAACAGGUGGAGGCACUCAGGAGAGUGGAGGCAGCUGGACAGAGGAACCAACGGGAACGUUAUGCUGGAACACGGUUGGCUAGGAAACCCGAGAGGCACCCCCAAUAAAAAAAAUUGGGGGGGCACACGGGUAGCUUGGCCAGGCCAGGGAAGAGCCGUAAGCCAGCUACCCGUGACUACAGGGAGGUGCGUAUGAGGUGGAGGGCGCCAUGUUACGCUGAGGUACGCACCAUCUCGCCUAUACGGACGCACAGCCCAGUUCGCCCAGUACCAGCGCCCCGCAGGUGCCAGGGCAAGGUGAGCAUCGAGCCGGAAGGGGUGAGGCCAACCCUGCAAUCAAGACCGCCAGCGUGCCUUUUCGGUCCGGUGUUUCCCGCUAGACGCACUAGCAUGGAGUUGCGUGUCUCCAGGCUGGCACGUCCAAUACCAGCCCCACGCAUCAGGAGUCUAGUGUGUCAGCCCAGCCUCGCCAGUCGUAAGUCGCCAGAGCCGCCCGCCAGUCGUAAGUCGCCAGAGCCGCCCGCCAGUCAGGAGCCGCCAGAGCCGCCCG